UAGCUUGCUAAGGCUGAUGGCGACCGGCGCACGGGUGAGUAACACGUAUCCAGCCUGCCGUCUACUCUUGGCCAGCCUUCUGAAAGGAAGAUUAAUCCAGGAUGGGAUCAUGAGUUCACAUGUCCGCAUGAUUAAAGGUAUUUUCCGGUAGACGAUGGGGAUGCGUUCCAUUAGAUAGUAGGCGGGGUAACGGCCCACCUAGUCAACGAUGGAUAGGGGUUCUGAGAGGAAGGUCCCCCACAUUGGAACUGAGACACGGUCCAAACUCCUACGGGAGGCAGCAGUGAGGAAUAUUGGUCAAUGGGCGAUGGCCUGAACCAGCCAAGUAGCGUGAAGGAUGACUGCCCUAUGGGUUGUAAACUUCUUUUAUAAAGGAAUAAAGUCGGGUAUGCAUACCCGUUUGCAUGUACUUUAUGAAUAAGGAUCGGCUAACUCCGUGCCAGCAGCCGCGGUAAUACGGAGGAUCCGAGCGUUAUCCGGAUUUAUUGGGUUUAAAGGGAGCGUAGAUGGAUGUUUAAGUCAGUUGUGAAAGUUUGCGGCUCAACCGUAAAAUUGCAGUUGAUACUGGAUGUCUUGAGUGCAGUUGAGGCAGGCGGAAUUCGUGGUGUAGCGGUGAAAUGCUUAGAUAUCACGAAGAACUCCGAUUGCGAAGGCAGCCUGCUAAGCUGCA
rnacentral:rRNA from 1 species